rnacentral:rRNA from 1 species
UGGGGAAUAUUGGACAAUGGGCGCAAGCCUGAUCCAGCCAUGCCGCGUGAGUGAUGAAGGCCCUAGGGUUGUAAAGCUCUUUCACCGGUGAAGAUAAUGACGGUAACCGGAGAAGAAGCCCCGGCUAACUUCGUGCCAGCAGCCGCGGUAAUACGAAGGGGGCUAGCGUUGUUCGGAUUUACUGGGCGUAAAGCGCACGUAGGCGGACUAUUAAGUCAGGGGUGAAAUCCCGGGGCUCAACCCCGGAACUGCCUUUGAUACUGGUAGUCUUGAGUUCGAGAUAGGUGAGUGGAAUUCCGAGUGUAGAGGUGAAAUUCGUAGAUAUUCGGGGGAACACCAGUGGCGAAGGCGGCUCACUGGCUCGAUACUGACGCUGAGGUGCGAAAGCGUGGGGAGCAAACAGG